UCCCCAGCUGGCCCUCCUUGAUAGGAGCUGGACUUCAUGAUCUCGAAGGUCCCUUCCCGUUCUGCCAUUCUCAGAUUAUGAUUAAUAAUACACAGAAACGGCUUGCCAGAUAUGUGCAGCUGAGUCAGCUUCCGUAACCAGCUCUGCCUUGCCUUUUCCCCCCGACCGUCUCCGGAUGGAGGAUGAAACAGAGCACCAUCUGCGGCUUUGCCCUUUACCUGAACCAGAUCCUGCUCUGCGUUCCUUCCCAUGUCGUCCCCCCUCCACAAACGGGUAAACGUGGCACAAG